rnacentral:rRNA from 1 species
AGUGAACGCUGGCGGUAGGCCUAACACAUGCAAGUCGAACGGCAGCACAGUAAGAGCUUGCUCUUACGGGUGGCGAGUGGCGGACGGGUGAGGAAUACAUCGGAAUCUACUUUUUCGUGGGGGAUAACGUAGGGAAACUUACGCUAAUACCGCAUACGACCUACGGGUGAAAGCAGGGGAUCUUCGGACCUUGCGCGAUUGAAUGAGCCGAUGUCGGAUUAGCUAGUUGGCGGGGUAAAGGCCCACCAAGGCGACGAUCCGUAGCUGGUCUGAGAGGAUGAUCAGCCACACUGGAACUGAGACACGGUCAAGACUCCUACGGGAGGCAGCAGUGGGGAAUAUUGGACAAUGGGCGCAAGCCUGAUCCAGCCAUACCGCGUGGGUGAAGAAGACCUUCGGGUUGUAAAGCCCUUUUGUUGGGAAAGAAAAGCAGGAGGUUAAUACCCCGCUGUUCUGACGGUACCCAAAGAAUAAGCACCGGCUAACUUCGUG